CAGUCGCCGCGGUAAUACGGAGGGUGCAAGCGUUAAUCGGAAUUACUGGGCGUAAAGCGCACGCAGGCGGUCUGUCAAGUCGGAUGUGAAAUCCCCGGGCUCAACCUGGGAACUGCAUUCGAAACUGGCAGGCUAGAGUCUUGUAGAGGGGGGUAGAAUUCCAGGUGUAGCGGUGAAAUGCGUAGAGAUCUGGAGGAAUACCGGUGGCGAAGGCGGCCCCCUGGACAAAGACUGACGCUCAGGUGCGAAAGCGUGGGGAGCAAACAGGAUUAGAGACCCCUGUAGUCCCUGUCUCUUAUAC
rnacentral:rRNA from 1 species